rnacentral:misc_RNA from 1 species
GAUGAAGAACGUAGCGAAAUGCGAUAAGUAAUGUGAAUUGCAGAAUUCAGUGAAUCAUCGAAUCUUUGAACGCACAUUGCGCCCGCCAGUAUUCUGGCGGGCAUGCCUGUUCGAGCGUCAUUUCAACCAUCAAGCCCCAGGCUUGUGUUGGGGACCUGCGGCUGCCGCAGGCCCUGAAAACCAGUGGCGGGCUCGCUGUCACACCGGGCGUAGUAGAUUUAUCUCGCUCAGGGCGUGCUGCGGGUUCCGGCCGUUAAAAAGCCUUUUUUACCCAAGGUUGACCUCGGAUCAGGUAGGAAGACCCGCUGAACUUAAGCAUAUCAAUAAGCGGAGGA